UUCCCAAGCCAAGUCCCUACAGACCGAGUUACAUCACCUCUUCUCUGUUUGUGCUACAAUUUAAAAAACAAGAUUUUCCUCCCAUUUCUACAGUGGUCAUUCCCAAAAAAAGAAUGAUGUGAACAGACAAAGGUAUCUGGGUGCAACGCUUGUUUUUUGAGGUGGUUUGCCUAAUACAGAUGACGUAACAAGUCUGAAUGUUAAACAGUUUGAUCCUACCUGCAAAAAAAACAAAUGAAACCAUUGCACUUCUUGUCGGUGAUCGGUGUCUUGGCCUUGUAAAGGGCACAUCUCCUCCCUCCAGCUGUGAUGUGUUCAGCCAGAUGGAUGGUAUCACUCCCUCCAGUUGAGAAGGUAUCUGAAAACUUGCUCCGAGAGGACAGCAUGGUGCCAUCCGCGAUUCACACCCUGCUGCCAUCAAUAUGAAUAAAUGGAGACCUGAGUUGUUAAGAGCUCAUGCUGUUCUCUGUGCGCUGGCUGACAGAAGGAGGGGGUGAGAUGAAAGUGGAUGUCUAUGGUUUUGGUUGUCUUCUAGAGAUGAAAGACACAGAGCACCUCUAAUUGGA